UCAUAGCUGUCAGUAGAGAGUCUGCCUGCAAUGCAGGAGACCCAGGUUCAAUUCCUGGGUCAGGAA
rnacentral:tRNA from 1 species